rnacentral:rRNA from 1 species
AUUGAACGCUGGCGGCAUGCUUUACACAUGCAAGUCGAACGGCAGCGCGGGCUUCGGCCUGGCGGCGAGUGGCGAACGGGUGAGUAAUACAUCGGAACGUGCCCAGUAGUGGGGGAUAGCUCGGCGAAAGCCGGAUUAAUACCGCAUACGACCUGAGGGUGAAAGCGGGGGAUCUUCGGACCUCGCGCGAUUGGAGCGGCCGAUGGCGGAUUAGCUAGUUGGUGGGGUAAAGGCCGACCAAGGCGACGAUCGGUAGCUGGCCUGAGAGGACGACCGGCCACAUGGGAGCUGCGGAACGGCCCAGACUGCUACGGUAGGCAGGAGUGGGGAAUAGUACACAAUGGGAGGAAGCAUGAGGCAGGAACGCCGCGGGCGGGAUGACGGACGUCGGGGUGGAAACAGGGUGCGCCGGGGAAGAAGCGGGAGGGACGGUAAUUGGUAAAGAAGCACAGGCUAGCUACGUG